UCCUGGCGCCCGUGAGGAGGUGGUUCCCUGCUCACCUGGCGUCAGGCCUCCGGCUCCAAGGCUCUCCUCCGGCGUUUCCCGCCCUUCCGAGGGUUCGCCGGGCGCUCCCGGGCCUGAGGGACCCGCACCGAGCUCGAGGCGCCGCACACGGACCCCGACGGGGCCUUCGGCUCGGGGCUGCUCCGCCUGGGCAACCCUUACGUCGAGGACAGCCUGCUGCCAGCCUCCCUGAGGAGACGCCUGCCCGCCGAGGUGUUUACUAAAGUGAGCAAGGAUCUUCUGCAGCUGUUUGGAGCCUGAGUGGCAGAUGACACCAACUAACUGGCGACAAGUAUGAGUUACACCCCAAAGGCUGCUGCAGCAGGAUGCCCAGACAGCACGUAGACCACCUCCACACCUGCAGAGCUGAGAGGAUCUCAGCUGAGCAGGUACAGGUAAGAAGAGAAGUUCUCUUGCCUUGGAGCAGUACAGCUGCCUGGGAAACAAGAAGGGUUCCUGCUGCUUCCAGCUCUGGACGACGUGUGAAAGCAGGGAAGCAGGUGUGGAAGGAGGGCAGAGACUGAACCUCAGGAACACCAAUACCAACAUAGGCACAGGGAAAGGAUGGUCUGGCGCAGCCUCUAAGGCCAACUGCAGAGGCAGAAGAGCCAGCAGAAAGGAAACCCACUGCUGGAUUAAGGAUCACUUAAGCACAGAAGACAGAAUACUGAAUACCCUUUGGCAACAAAAUACCACCGCAAAAGGAAAAGGCUAGACAAGGAGCAAUGGAAAGACAGAACUAAAACAAACAAAAGACUUCAUCUUCUGGAAUGCAGUGAGUACUUCACAACUCUGUUUCUGAAAAGCAUGAGUCAGCAACAACUGUGGUUACAGAGAAACAUUACCUAAAUCUACUUCUGGAUGUGUACAUUUAUUUAACAUACCUUCUGGAAGAAUUCAGCUUAAAGGCCUGACAUGUAUUUGAUGAGUUAAGCUUUUCUAUCUGACUUCUUUCAGGGGAUCCUGAUAGACCCUAAGUGGAGUUUUCCCUUAAGUCUUCAAUGCUAACAGUUCUCCGGAAAGACCACCUCUGUUCAGUCCUGGGCUCUUUUUUUUUUUUUUUCCUUAAAAAAAAAAGUCAUGCUGUUUGACUUGAAAGUCACCGGCAUCAUUCUGGCAUCUAAGUGAAUGACUGACCCAAAAGAAAUAGCUCUAAAACCCCUCAACUGGCUAUUCCACAAGACCAGCGCCUGCUGAAGCACUGCUUCUUGCCAUAAGCAAGAUGGCUCGGCUGACCUAUGCAGUCAGCAGGGGCAACCACGGCUGCAACCUGCAGCCAGCUGCUGUGGUCCCCCCACCCCACCCAAGCCCACCUGCUUGCCUGCCUGCACUCCUGCCCCAAAGCUUCAUCCCAAUGAGUGCAGAGAGGGGGAAAUGGUAGCGUUAGUGUGGAGAAGUUACUGUAGGUGUGCAGAAAUCACAGACAGGUUGUUGCAAAUGCUCACCAUGUUUGAUCAACACGGUCAAUGUCCCUGCAAGGAGGGGAGAAAGAACUCAGAGAAGAAGCCAACUAAAGACAUUUGGGCUUGGGGUGAGCAUGGGGAGAGAUACAGUCCUAGAAGCAUCAUCACCAGACAAAGGUGGUUCCAUUUUCAAUCCAGGUCCAUUCAUGUGGGUGGGCUAUGUCACAGUUCAGAUAAAAUUCCUACCCCAAGUAACACUGAAUAUCCUCCAGUCACCACCCCAGCUGGGGCAAAGCAUCCCUAACCACUCACUACCCCAACCCAGAAGGAAGAAAGAAGUCAGGAGCCUUAUGGAUUGAAGACUAUACCCUAAGCUAUUCCCACUAGUCCUCCAACCAAUAAGUAUGCGGUCAGGGAGAGAGGGUAAGGAGUAGGAAAACGAAGUUCUCUGCCCACAGCAGGAAAACUGUCUUUGCUCACAGCAGCCGUGCUGAAUGGCUUAUUCUAGGAAUAAGAAAUGGCUUAUUCUAGGAAUAAGAAAUGGCGGUGUGGGUGGUGGUAGCAGUUGCUUCAUCAAUCCAGGAAGCAAAAUAAAAAAGGGACAUCAUUUUCAAAACUUACUCACGAUCACUCUAAAAUGGAAGAAAGACACCCAGUGCAGUUCUGCAAACACUAAUUUCAGAGGCACAAAAGGUGAGUCAGGGUCCUGAAGACCCUGGGGUCUGCCUCAGAACACUGCCAGCCAGCUGCCUGCAUCUUUCAAAUCUGCAGGUUCUGUGGACCAAACCUCAGCCUCUACACCCCCAACCACCCCACCACACCCUCCCAGUGGCACCUGCAGUGGUGCUUCCUGCUGGCAAGCCAGAAGGCGCUGUCGCAUGCAUAGCAGUGGGCGGCCAGGUGGUCAGGGAGCCAACGGGUCAUCUGUAAAACGGAUGAGGCCAGGUUAGUGACAGGAGAUGGGCCAUCCAGCCGGAGCCAACAGAGCCAUGCUGGGGGCAGCAGGAGUCACAAGGACCACACUGGCUCCAGUGGCACCAGCCCAUCAGGUCUGAUGUCAGCAGUACAAGAAAGGCGUCCAAAUCGUUUCCCUGGAGGGGACUCCAAACUCCCCUGAGAUCAAGUGGCAGGCAAUAGCACCCUGGGUCGCUAUGAGAGCUGGCAAGGCUCCAGUUCAUAGAGGCAAUGAGGAGAGAGGGCUGGCCUGCUGCAUCUCCCUUGCUGAGAAAUUCUAGGCUUGAUGGGAAUUCAUAGAUGCUGAGAUUCAGAGAGGCUCAAGGCUAAGUGUGCUGUGUGGUCAUUCCUUAGCCAGGGGCAGGGGGAAUGGAUGAUGGGAAUAGAGAAGAACUGCAGAACAGUUGCAUGGGUGGCACUCAGAACAGGGGCUGAGCCUGUACCUCCGUGUCCUGUUUAUCCACCUGCUCCCAGCUGGCUUCAGAGAAAAUCUCUGUGCUGCAGCGAGACAAACAGUUCUGAUCCAGAAUGCUUUCCGAGUCAGGAAUUGAAGUCUGUUGGCAAACAAACACAGCUGAACAGAAUGAACCUGGUCUCCUCCCAGAAGAAGAAAGGGCUUGGCAAAGAAGGGAGCACUGGGGACUUUGGGCGGGCCUGGGUGUUAGGGCUGCUGAAUCUCUAGGUGCCUCAGCCAUCAAGAAUUGGGUUGAGCAGGUUCAGAGACAGGGCUGAGCUCAGCUAUAAGAGAGAUACACACAUCUAAGGUUAUGUGCAGGGAUUCUGGAGUGGAAAGACAGGCUUCGGGUUCCAGGAAGUGAGUAGGGCAGAAGUGACCAGGAUGAAGUGGGAACUCAGUGUCAGCUGCUUCAGGGGGCCUGUCAGUCCAACCCUGCCACUUACAUGUGUGUGUUGAAACUGAGUGCUUUGGGCAUGUCCUUUCUCUGAAGGACUCUGGGAAAAUGAGAAACCAUCAUUAGUAUAAAGGAAAAACCAAGUCAGUUUGAAGUGAAAGUCAUUGGACGAGCCCGCCUUUAAUGUACGCUGACUGCUUCAGAGCCAGACUCACACUUGUCCUUAAUCACGUCGAGACUGCCUCCUUGAGAACCUCCCCUCAGGUACCACCACUCCACUCCGGUCACCAGGCUCCAUCAGUGCUAACUCCCAACAGUGAUACCUCUCCCCAUUUCUACUGCCAUCACCUGCCACAAGGUAGGUACAAAUACCUGUUUAAAAAGAACUAAACCUUCACAGCUACAGCCCAUGUUAUGGUUGGGGGUGGGGUGGGGUGCAGCAGCUAAUUGUUCACUAGCUACUGGGGUAGGACAGGCACUAUGAUUUCACAGGAAUAUUUGACAUUGCCCUACAAAUAUUAUUCUGCCCAGGAGUUCACGCUUUUCUCAAGGCAUGAUCCUCUCUCCGAAGAGAACUGACCAACCAUAUAGUGAGUGCUCACUCUCUUCCUAAUUCUGUCUAGACAGGAUACCUGUGGAAAGUAAGCAAAACAGGAAAGAAAAAGAACACUGCCAAUCACCUGGCUGAGGCUGAUCUCCAGCCUCUCUCAAUUCUGGAACUUUCCAGUUCUUUCAGAAAUCUGUACAAAGGGCGCCCCGGCUCAGUGUGCCCUGUCUCCUUGUGCAGCUAUGGAGGCACCAUGGUGUACUUACCACUUCAUCCCCGAAGUCCCCAUUGAAGCGUAGGGAGCUGGUCAGGUACUGGCUCUCCAGGCGACUCCUCAGCUCCUGGACUUGUUUCUUCAAGGUCUCCACUUCCUGCUGGUGGCCCGACUCAAUCUGACGCAGGCGCUGUUGGAUAGUGUCCGUGUACAGAGGCAUGCCGUCAUCGUCCAGGUGGCUGCGGGAAGGCUGGUCAGGGCUGCCAGUUGCAGACACCCUCCCCGAGUGGCUGUGCAGCCACUUGUGAUGCAAGUUCCUCGAGUGUAAGUGGGCAGAGCUGCAGCUUGUGGCAGACAGCUGGCGGCUCAGUGAGUCCUUGCUCCUACCAGUCUCCCCAUUGGCGCAGUGCCCAUUGGGGGUAGGGUACUUCUGGAGGGUACUAUGCCCUGGGAGCUGCUCUGAGGCCUUAUUUUCAGUCUCUGGAGCACCAUUGCACACAAGCCCCUCUUUACAUUCAGCUAAAGGCAAGGCACAAGGAGAAUGCGCUGGGCUCUGGGUGCUGCUGGGGGAAGUCCUAUACACCAGAGAUCCCACUUGGGGCCUCUCAGCCAGGCUCCUCUCUGAAGGCCUGGGCUCCAUGGCUUGAGGAAGCUCCUCCUUGCCACUGAACCUGCCACUGCUUACCCUGGCAGGUAAGCAAGGUCUAUCAUGGCCUUGGGGACCACUUUCUGACUUCACUUUAUCUUCCACUAACAUGUCCAUGGAACUAUCCGCAUUUGGUCCUCUGGUCUCAAAUGAAACUUGGGAGGGCAGAGAACUUGACUGUGAGGUACCAAAGCCAACUUUCACAUCUACUGAGAUUGGAAGGACUGCCUCCUCCCUGUCCUGUGUGAUAGCUCCUAUUCGAGACUGUUCCACAGGGACCUCCUGGGCAUCCUCUCCCGGGGGGGGCUCCUGGAGAGAACUGGGGAGAAUACUGUGCCCACCCUGCUGCUCAAGAAUACCCUGUGAGAGCACAAGAAGGCUGGUGCCUGGAUGGUGGCUCCUUAGAGCAGCAUCACCCAGUUCUGGCUCUUGAUGAAGCACAAUGGCUGGGCACUCAGGGGUCUUCCCCCUGCUCCCCUCUUCUAAAAGAGCCUCCUCUUUGACUUCCUGCAUCUCCCUGUGGGCAGGCUCCUCUACCCCACUCUCCUCUUUGGUGGCCUCUUGCAGGAUAUUCUCCAUCUGCCCCUCAGCUACUCCAGCUGCAACAGACAGCUCGGCGCCACCCAGCACUUUGGCUGGCUUCCCCAGGCUGUCAGGAUCCAGAAGCUCCUCUCCAGGACCAGCCAGAGUGCUCAGUUCCAGCGAGCGACGGUGCUCCUGCCACUUCUCAUUCAGGCUUGGGUCACUGCUGCGCCGGCUGGCUAGAGGCACUGUGUUCUCGCAGGCGGUGGUCAGAUUGUCAAAUGAUCUAGUCUUUGGUAGCCUAAAGGAAGGAGUUUGGGGGAAAUGAGAAUAUGAGGUUGUUCACAGGGAAGUAGGAGACAACAGGUUUUAACAGGCAGUCAUUUCAUAAAUGGCUCCAUUACGGCUACUCAAGGAGCCAUGGCGCAUCUGGAGUAAGGCUCAGACUGCAGAAAGGCAGAGCUCCAGGAUGAGUACUUCUAUUCCUCUGGCACCAUCCCUACCCCAUGCCCAACACAUACAAAUAAGCUAAUAGCAAACACUAUUUUAAAAAGAUAUUCUUCAUGAUACUGCUAUGUUUCUCAAUUAGUGGCAGAGGAAAGUAGCACUGCUGAUCUUCUGAUAUUACAAUAUUUUAAAUUAUUAUUCAUCAGUCUGAAUUCAAUAAAGCUAAUUCAUAGGUCUCAAAGCCAGACUGUCUAUCAUCUGAUGGCAUCUGCCUUUCAAGCCCAGGACAGCAAGUCACAGCAGGGAGGCAGGAGCACAGAGCAGUCAGCCAGAGGGUCACAAGGAACCCAGAGGAUAUGCUCCAUCACUGAGAAACUGCUCCUCAGAGAUCUAAGAAAGAUGUGUGGAACCAAAUAAUGUCAUGAUCUCCAACCAUCCCUGGAUGCAUCCCAACACAGGAGUACACCCACAAAGGACCUGCAGUCUUGGCAUCAGCCCCAGGCUCACCGACUCAGAGGUGUAUCAUCAGGGCUGGUGCCAGGGGCUGGGUAUGGUGCACAGCUGUCGUCCACAGGGGUGGACGGGGAUGGGCAGGGCAGGUACACUGCACUCCACAGCAUCAGGUUACGCACGUGGCACACAGGGUACAGCACCUGAAGAGAGAGCGGUGGACACAGGUUUAAACAAAUUCCAACAAGUCUGUUAGAAAUGUCUAGAAAUGAGGGUGAAGAAGCAAGCACCAAGCAGGAACGCCCAGCAGUCCUGCACAAUCUCCAAGGGGCAUUAGCAUGAGUGGAUGCAGCUCUAUCACAGGGGGUGGUGGGUAGACGGGACAUUUUUCACCUGACAGCCUCUGUGGGAAUGAAAAUCUAAAAAGAAUUCUUUAAAUCCAUUUCUCAUUAGUUGUUUCUUAGGUCACCUUUAUUGAAUGACUGGCUUUUCUCAACCUAAUUUGUUGCUUUUACCACACAAGAAAAUGAGUCAUUCUGCUAGAUGGUUGAUAGUUCCCUAGUACAAAAGCUUGGCUUCAGAACACAUUGUCAAACCUGUUUUAUAGGAUCAUCUAAAUUAAUCAAGUGAAAAGGAGGGAAUUUUCUUCUGUACUGUUACUUCCCCAGCAGGCACAGGAGAGAGAGAAGCAGCUAGCUUCAAUCUUUCCUUGGACUACUUAACUGUAGGAAGAGGUUUAUUAAUUAAUAGUCCAGCAAAUCAGUAUAACCUCUGAUUAGCUUCCUUGUGACUUUAGAAUUUAAGAUGCAUUCUGACAAAAGGAACAUUACUGUGUACAUUACUGUGUACCAAUGCACAGAUAUAAGUGCCUCCUUUUCUCUGCUUAACAGAAAGUGUUCCUUUGAGGAACAAAGUCUUUUUUUUUUUUUUUGGCGGUACUCGGGCCUCUCACUGUUGUGGCCUCUCCGGCUGCGGAGCACAGGCUCCGGACGCGCAGGCUCAGCGGCCAUGGCUCACGGGCCCAGCCGCUCCGCGGCAUGUGGGAUCUUCUUGGACCGGGGCACGAACCCGUGUCCCCUGCAUCGGCAGGCGGACUCUCAACCACUGCGCCACCAGGGAAGCCCCUUUGAGGAACAAAGUCUUAAAGGGCCUGCCAGUUCUCCAUGUGAGCAGAGGAUCACACAGACACACUGCUAGUGUCACAAACAGUUUUCUGCUGAGACAGAUGCUGUAAUGGGGUAUCAUUGCCUGUUGACACUGGAAGGGUGCUAGGGGCCUGCAGCUCCUUCUGAGCUAUCAGGGGCAUCCAGGGAACAACUUAAGUGCCUCCUCCACCUGUUAGAACAUGCUAGAAAUAAGCUCUGGCAGAGGUGCCAGAAAAGAUUCAUGUCUAGAGUGGCAAAGUAGAGAUGUUUGCUAAAUCAAACCACCCUGAACAAAGAGCAGUCAGAAGCAGGGCAGAAUAACCAGAAAACAGGCCUUUCUCAGGACAAAGUGGUUGGGAAAAAAUGGAACUACUCCAUCCAGAGACAACUGAGAUGCCUUCGAGAAAACAGUCACUUCUCAAAAAAGAUCCCAUAUGUCCCCAUCCCCAAAUUCAUUCUGCUGAUGAGGGAGAAAAGACUAAAGAAUACAUACGGCUUCUGACUGAGAGGAAUACAGUAGGUUUUUGAAAGCCUUGUUGCCCGCCCGAAGCAGCGACCACACAGAACACGUCCGUUCCUGAGUAUGUUUUUCCCCUCUCUCCUUGGCGUUGUUGCACAGGAAUGUUCCAAACAGGCAGGAAUAGGUAUGCUGCACCAGUUUCACCUAUGGGAGUCCAAUACGAGGCAAAAUCAAACAAUGGGUACGCAUUUUCUGGGGGAAGGUCAGCCCAGCUAAGCCACCUUCCCCGACACCCCUGAUGUGCACUUCAGUUCACGCUUGGUAAGGAUGGGGGACCCAAGUAAGCCACCCAAUCGCAGACUCCUCAUAACCCCAGCCACCAUCACUCCUGAGUCAAAACGGCAAAGACAGGGUGUUGGCACCCCCAUCCUCUUGGCCUCCCUUGUAAACAGUCUCCAAGGUCCCAAGUUAACAGCUACCCAUAUAAACUGGGCAUAGGAGCAGGUCAGUGUGCAACCCAAGUCUGAACUUCUAAACAGCUUUUCAUUCAGCAAGUUGCUAUUGAGCAUCUCACAUACCCCAAAUGUUUCUGUGGGUGCUGGACAGGCAACAGUGAGAAGACAGCUCUCCUGCCCUGGUAGAGCUCGCUCUGGCUGUGGGGGGAGGGGUGACCAGUGCUAUGGACAACAAUAAGGCAGGGUAAGAGGGCCAGAGCACAUGCAGGGCAGUGUGAGAAGGCUCACUGGCCUCUAGAAACCUGAUGGAAAUGAGAGAGCAGAUCAUACCAGCCAGGGGUGGGAGAGGAGGCUACUCCAGGCACAAUGGCCUUGAGGUGAGCACAGGAUUGCAACUUCUGAGGAACUGACAGACAUUGCAUGAGGCAGAGGAUGGGAGGAAAUGAGCCUGGACAGGCUUGCAGGCCAUUUUAAGGACUGUGGAGAGAGCCUUGGAGGCCUUGCAGGAGGGCCUCGCAGGCCAUGUUAAGGACUGUGACUUUUAUUCUGUGUCAAAAGCAGAGUCAUUGGAGGUUUCUUGACAGAGGAAUGAUACGGUCUGUAUCAUGUUUUAGAAGGAUUCCUCAGGCUGCUAGACUGACUCGGGAAUUGGGGCAGGAGAUGUGGUGGCUUAGACUAGUGUUGGGAACAGCACAGGUAGCAAUAAGUUAUCAGGUUUUAGAUAUAUUUUUAAAGCAGAGCUGCAGAAUCUGCUGACAGACUGAUAUGGAAUAUGAAAGAAAGGAGAGUUGAGGAUGACAUAAAAGUUUUUGCCCUAAAUGAAUCGAAGGUUUGAGUUGCCAUUUGGUGAGAUGGAAGACUUCUGGAAGAUAAGUUUUGGGGUGGAGACAUGGAAAUCAAGAACUGAGUUCUGAACAUGUUAAGUUUGAAAUACCAUUAAGACAUCCAAGUGGAGAUACUGAGUAGUCACAAGUGGAUGAGAGCCUGGAGUUAAGUGGAGAGAGAGAGAUCUGAGCUGAAGACGUAUACAUGUGGGAAUCACAGACAGCAAUUAAAGCCAACAAACUGGAUGAAAUCCCUAGAGAAGGAGGCUGAGCCCUGGGGUACUCCCAGCAUUCACGAGUGGGGAGGGAAGGAGGAACCAGCAAAGGAGACAGAAAGGACCAGUUGGUGAAGCGGAGAACUAAGACUGUGUGCUGGAAGUCAACUGAAGAAAGUGUUUCAAGAAAGGAGUGAUUAAAUUGUGCCAAAUUUUAAUGAUGGAUCAAAGAAGAUGAAGGCAGUCAAAAGGUACAAACUUCCAGUUAUAAAAUAAGUAAAUCGUGGGAUGUGAUGUACAGCAGGGUGACUGUAAGUUAGGAAUACUGUACUGUAUAUUUGAAAGUUGCCAGGAGAGGACAUCUUAAAAGUUCUCAUCACAAGAAAAAAACUUCAUAACUAUGUAUGGUAACAGAUGUUAACCAGAAUUUUGUGGUAAUCUUUUAGCAAUAUAUACAAAUAUCAAAUCACUGUUGUACACCUGAAACUAAUACAAUGUUAUCUAUCACUUAUACUGCAAUUAAAAAAAAGAAGGGUGAUUGAAAACUGAUCACUGGAUUAGAAAUGUGAAGGUCACUGGUGACCUUAACAAGAGCAGCUCUGGUAAAGUGGUGGAGUGAACACCUGACUGGGCCAGGUUUAAAAGAGAAUGGGAGGAGAAGCGUUUGAGAGAGUAAAUGUCAAGACUUGAGGAGCUCUGCUGUGAAGAAAUGAGAUAUGAAAAAUGAGGUAAUAGCUAGAGGGGGAUGCAGGACCCAGAAACGGUUUUGAUGAAAUAGGAGGCACUAUACCAUGCUUGUAUGCUGAUGGCAAUGAUCUGGUAAAAAGGAAAAUAGGCUGAUGCACAGGGCAGGGAGGAGAAACGCUGAAGCCAUGAAGCUGAGCAAAGGAGGGGAGUGGAAGCUGGUGCACAAGUGGAGGAGGGGCUGGAAGAGGGCAAGGAUAGUACAUCCUCCUUCAAAGGACAGGGAGCAGAGAGUGUGGAACAGACACAGGGGGGUUGGUAGAUGGACUGGAGGGAGCAGAUGAAAAUCUAUUGCUUCUAUUUCUAACUACUGUUUAGUGCUUUUAUCAUCCAUUUUAAAAGUUAUGUUUAGAAGAACUCAAAGUUUAUGUAAACUUAGUACACAUGGAUUCACUAAAUAAACAAACACCUGUUUAUUACUAUUGUUUUUUAAUUAAAAAUGGAAGAAUGACCCCUCAAAUUCUAGAAAGGAUGCAGUUUCAUGUGAAAACUGGCCCACUAACAUUUGCAUUGAUACCCCUAUGAAUUUAGAAGGUUCCCAAAACGAAGAAUCACAAGCCCAAACUCACAAGGAAUGCUUCAUUGAACUCAAAAGAGCACGGAAAUUGCCUCUGAAGCUGAUGAACACAGUCCAGCCACUGUAAAAACACUGGGCAACGCUCGUUCAGAUCAUCCGAGUUCUCCCCAUGACCACACCGGUCAGCAAA